UCGACUGUUUAUCAAAAACAUAGCCAUAAGUAAAUAUUUAUGGUAGUAUCUGCCCAGUGAAAAUUUUUAAACGGCCGCAGUACCUUGACUGUGCAAAGGUAGCAUAAUCACUUGACUUUUAAAUGGAGCCUAGUAUGAAAGAGAGAACGUAGACAAUUUGUCUUAAUAAUAGUAUUUUGAAAUUGCUGUAGGAGUGAAAAUACUCCUAAAAUUUAAAAAUAGACGAGAAGACCCUUAGAAUUUUAAACAUAUUGCAGAAGUACUACUGUAAUUAUUUUUUGUUGGGGCAACAAUAUUUCAAAACGAAUAAAUAUACAAAAAAGUCAAAAUAGGUCGAUUAUAUAAUUAUAGUAAAAUUACCUAAGGGAUAACAGCAUAAUUUAAUAAUUAAGUUUGUGAC
rnacentral:rRNA from 1 species